ensembl:snRNA RNU6-76P RNA, U6 small nuclear 76, pseudogene
GUGCUCGCUUCAGCAGCACAUAUACUAAAAUUGGAACAAUACAGAGGUUAGCAUGGUCCCUGCAUAAGGAUGGCAUGCAAAUUGGGGAGGUGUUCCAUCUUUUU